rnacentral:rRNA from 1 species
UACACAUGCAAGUCGAGCGGGGUUUUCGGACCUAGCGGCGGACGGGUGAGUAAUGCGUAGGAAGCUACCCGAUAGAGGGGGAUACCAGUUGGAAACGACUGUUAAUACCGCAUAAUGUCUACGGACCAAAGUGUGGGACCUUCGGGCCACAUGCUAUCGGAUGCGCCUACGUGGGAUUAGCUAGUUGGUGAGGUAAUGGCUCACCAAGGCGACGAUCUCUAGCUGGUUUGAGAGGAUGAUCAGCCACACUGGAACUGAGACACGGUCCAGACUCCUACGGGAGGCAGCAGUGGGGAAUAUUGGACAAUGGGCGCAAGCCUGAUCCAGCCAUGCCGCGUGUGUGAAGAAGGCCUUAGGGUUGUAAAGCACUUUCAGCGAGGAGGAAGGGAGUUGUGUUAAUAGCACGGCUUUUUGACGUUACUCGCAGAAGAAGCACCGGCUAACUCUGUGCCAGCAGCCGCGGUAAUACAGAGGGUGCAAGCGUUAAUCGGAAUUACUGGGCGUAAAGCGCACGCAGGCGGUUGGUUAAGUCAGAUGUGAAAGCCCCGGGCUCAACCUGGGAAUUGCAUUUGAAACUGGCCAACUAGAGUAUGUGAGAGGGGGGUAGAAUUCCAAGUGUAGCGGUGAAAUGCGUAGAGAUUUGGAGGAAUACCAGUGGCGAAGGCGGCCCCCUGGCACAAUACUGACGCUCAGGUGCGAAAGCGUGGGGAGCAAACAGGAUUAGAUACCCUGGUAGUCCACGCCGUAAACGAUGUCUACUAGCUGUUCGUGGUCUUGUACUGUGAGUAGCGCAGCUAACGCACUAAGUAGACCGCCUGGGGAGUACGGUCGCAAGAUUAAAACUCAAAUGAAUUGACGGGGGCCCGCACAAGCGGUGGAGCAUGUGGUUUAAUUCGACGCAACGCGAAGAACCUUACCUACUCUUGACAUCUA